rnacentral:tRNA from 1 species
GUUUUAAUAGUUUAAAUAAAACAUAAAUUUUGUAAAUUUAAAUUGGAAUUAACCUUAAAAUA